UGACGACAUUGGAGUCGCGAGGCGGCUACAGGCGGGAAGUGAAGUGAAGCGUGUUUUGGUUCAUGGUGGAGUUGUAUCAGUUGAUGGGAAGGAUUUUUGGAGAUAUUUUGUGGUGCUAGAAAUCAUUCUUCGCUAUAUGAAAAUUCUAAAAUUAACACAACAGCGUAACCAUUUGACAGUAUUAUCUGUCUUUGUGGAUUGUUCAAGGAUUACCUCAAUGGUUUUAAAGUGCCUUGGAGCAUCCUGAGGUGAUGAAAGACUAUGUACGAAUUCUGACCUUUUAUUAAUGAAAUUUGGCAUCAUGAUCAUGAAGCAAUGGAAGGUGUCCAAUAAGCUAUUCCAAAAUCAUCGGUUGAUUCUUGGCCUUCACCUGGGUUUAAGGAAAUGCAGCAAAUCUACUUCUGACUUUUCUGGAUUUACUGAAGCAUUGAUUGACCUUUGCCAGAACAGACAUUUUGUAUCUGGAGAUGAGAUUACACAAGAUAUGCUCAUUGACGGUUGUUUUAAUUAUGGACAUUUGGGAAUGGAACUUAAGCGGAAUUUGGCUACUAACUGGUGGGACUCGAUGGUGUUAUCUAGGGAACAGGUGUUUGGAGUGCAGAGUCCUCAUCAGCUGAAGGCGAAACACAAUUCUGACCACAAGUCAAUGAAACUGGUGAAUGUGGCAGCGUUACAAGUAUCAUUGGGUAACAAAGAUGCUAAUAAAGAAGGAAUUGCCUCACCAACAGAUCUAUUUAAGGAAUGCAUCGUAUUGCGACCUAAUCUCCUGCAAGGAGCAUUUCGUGAAUACACUAAAUCUUUGAACCUUGUGAACAGGAAGUUACCUUUUGGUUUGGCUGAAGUCGGGGUAUGUUAUCAGCCCAUCCCUACAAUUAAGUACACAACUGUGUGCAGUAUGAUAAGAACCUCAGAGGUUGAAUUAGCAUCAUUGGUAUGGUUUAGUUCUCCUCGGACUUCUGGACGUUGGCUAGACUACUGGGUGCGUCAGCGCUUACUGUGGUGGAGAAAAUUUGCCAGAAGUCCAUCCAGUUUUACAGCCAUCGAUUCCCAGAAUAAUGAUGGAGUUAAAGGAGCUGCACUGUACUUCACUUUUCCUUGGGGGAAGGAACCGAUUGAGACGCUGAUAAAUCUGGGAGACAAAGAUCUUUUGCGUGAACACCAGGGAAAUGAAUCAAGCUUGCAGGGCCGAGAUGGAAGGAAGACUGUUGUUCCACAUGUUCUCUCAGUCAGUGGGAAUCUGGAUCGAGGAGUGAUGGCAAUCUUAUUUGAUUCAUUGCAGUUGACUGAAAAAAUUGAUUCUAAAUUAAGAACAAGUCAGAAAAAGGUGCUAAAGCUUCAUCCUUUUCUGGCCCCAUUUAAAGUAGCUAUGGACAUGGGCAAAGGACCAACAGUUGAGUUGCGACAGGUAUGUGAGGGACUAUUCCAAGAAUUGUUGAAGAAAAAAAUUACAGUCUGGCCUGGCUACCUCGAAACUACGCAUUUGUCAUUGGAGCAGCUCUCUAUGAAGUACGAUGAGAUGGGAGUGAUUUUUACAAUUGUCGUCAGUGAGACUACAUUAGAGAAUGGUCUGGUACAACUCAGGAACCGAGAUACAGCCAUGAAAGAGAUGGUUCAUAUCUCAGAAAGGUCCUAGAAACAAAAUGAAAUGGAGUUUUCGAAAGGUAAACACUUUAUCUUGAUAGGAUCAUCGAGAAUUAUUCCCAGGUUAUAAACAGAGAAAAAUAUAAAUUCAAAAGGAGGAAGUUCUUUAUCAGCACCACAGCAGAGCUCAGUUUGAUUUCCUAUCACCUCCAUUGGACAUAUGAUGCUGCCUGGCCUGCUGAGCUCCUCCAGCAUUUUGUGUGUGUUGCUCUGGAUUCCCAGCAUCUGGUAGUCUCGUGUUUGUGGGCUGAAGGACCUGCUUCUGUGCUGUCGUCUUCCGUGACUUGAUGCGUGAUGGAUGUGGUGGAAAGGUGGACACGACUGGAGUCGGACAAUGCAAUGCAAAAGCACCAGUGCCGGGAGUCAGCCCGAGCCCACCACACGAUGCAAACGUACACCGGACACAACAGAAAAGACACAGAGCGGAUGUGCAAUGAUUGACACAACUUUAUUUGUUAAAUGGAGAUGAACUGGAGAGUGUCGCCGACAAUCCACUGAUCACAGGAGCUCUGGUUUGUGGAAUUGAGAUCUUAAAAUGCAGACACGGCCCAGUUUGUAUGGUGACAAUGCAACGAUGGACACAUCCCAUGGUACUGGGAGAUGAUUACUUUCACAGACAACACCACAAAGGCUGUGUACUAGUUAGAGGGAGAUUCACACUCACGGCUGGGAUGUGCAUUUACUUCUAACAGUGGGGAAGGGGGAAGGGUUUGGGACCUUGACAAGUCUGAAAGUAGGUGAUGAAUCCCACCCCCAUCAUUCUUCCUACAAGUGCACUCAGCCAGCGGGCUCGGAAUGCACCCACAGCUCACCCCUCCCUCCCUCCCUCCCUCCCGUUGUGUGGGCCUCACGGUUACCCGUCACCAGCAGACUCACGGCAAAUGAGAUGCACCAGUCUAAAGCUGCCAGAUCCUAACUUCAGAGCUUGCAGCAACUUUUCUAACCUCACAAAUAACGGGAACACCACGCUGGACAGUGAAGGUGGACCCCUGACCUAUUAGUUCCUUGAACCCACUCUCUGCAUCCGGCUGUCUGGGCAUUAUAUACAGUUCCCUAACUUAUCAUGAGUCAUUAUAUAUGUUCUUAACUACCUGUGAUUCAGUUUAUAAAUAGCUUCUAGAUCACAAUGACCAUUUUGUAUGUAGCCCCCUCACCAGUGUGCAUGACCUUAGCAUUAGCUCCUGAACUACUUGUACAUCACCUUAUAAUCAGCUCCCUGACUAUCAUUAUGCCAUUAUAUAUAAUCUCCCUGUGAGCAGCCAUAUGUAGCUACUUCUGUGUAAUAUACACUUCCCCAAUUACCCUUCUGUUACUUUAUAUAUAGCUGUCUCUCAUCUGGUACAAAACUCACCACUAUGUGCGAGGGCUGCCGGUAUCACAGGGUUAGUGCAACCUCCUUACGGCACCAGUGAUCAAAGUCAACCCUGCCGUGUCCGUAAGGAGUCUGUACGUUCUCCCCUUGACCAUGUGGGUUUCCUCCGGGUGCUCCAGUUUUCUCCCACAGCCCAAAGACGUAUGGGUUAGGGGUAUUUUUAUAGCGAUACAGCAGGGAGUAACGCCACCCCAGUAGCCCCUAACCCCGAUUAAAUCUUAAUCCCGGGACAAUUUACAUUGACAAAAUAACCUACCUGGUACGUCAGUGAACUGUGGGAGGAAACCAAAGCACCCGGGGAAAUGCCACACAUUCCACAGAGACUCCUUACAGAACGGCGCCGAAAUUGAACUCCGAAAACACCCGGAGCUGUAAUAGUGUCACGCCUAAUGCUACGCUGCCGCGGUUAUUGGGUUGUGAGCAUGGUGCGUUGGCCCCGGAAGCGUGGCGACACUUGUGGGCUGCCCCCAGCACAAUCCUCGCUGAUUUGAUUUGAUGUAAGUGAUGCAUUUAGCUGUGUGUUUUGACGUAGAUGUGACAAGUAAAAUUAAUCUUUCAACUAUCUGUGCAUUACACAUCAAUAGUUCCCAAGAGCAUAAUAUGUCACCUUAUACAAAGCUCACGACUAACUAUCGUAUGGAAAACCUUAACUACCUAUGUGCCACAAUGUGUAUAACUCCACGAAUACCUCUAUAUCAUACUAUAGGCCCUCGUUACUACCCAGAUAUUGUACUCAUGGGUUCUGCAUACAGCCUACAGGUUUUCUAACUUGUAUACAGUUCAUUUCUAUUUGCACAUUCACUCUCUGUAGAAUGCUAGGCCACCCUAAAGUUUCAUUUCACUUCAGUGAAUAUUGAUCAUCAUGGAAACUGAUAUCUACGAUGCAUGGGGAAAUUCUACACAUCUUGCAAAGACUCUUUCAGAGCCGAACUCAAUGGAAGUGCUACUGGGCCGAGCACCUCGAAUGGGGGGGAGGGGAAUUCCUAUGUCUAUCCCAGGCUGAGAGAGCCAGAGGGGGACGAGCCUUGGAUGUUAGCAGAAGUUUCAUUUUUUAAAAAACCUCAGAUUAAUGCUACUCCUCCGCUUUGGAGCUUUCAAAUUGCAUAGACGUCGUAGGGUUGUAGGUGGUUUAUUGCAUCCAGGACCGGUCCAGGCCAGGGAUUGGAAGUUGGACGUCCAGCGGCUGCCAUUCUGAGAAUCCAGGGACAAGGACUGGAGGCCUGGAGGCGGCCUGUGCUGGGGUUGGAGGCCUGACUGUGUGUGUGUGGGUGGCUGGUGGGGGGAGGUGGCAAAGGGGCUUGUUUAGCUGUUGUUAUUUUGUCGGGUUGUUCUGCUGAACAAGGUGGACAUGCUGGAAUGUGUGGUGACACUUGCGGGCUGCCCCCAGCACACCUUUGGGUUGUGUUAGCUGUUAAUGCAAACAACGCAUUUCACUGGACGUUUCCGUGUACACGUGAUAAAUAACUCUGAAUCUGACCGUAAGGAAAGCCAAGGCACUGGCACUGGUGGGGGGGGGCAAGGGUGGGGGCUGCUGCAGGAGAGGGCAGCUGGGGUUAGAUUGUGCACAAUGUCAAAGGUAUGGGGCCGUGGUGUGUUGGGGAGGUGGGAUGGAGUUUUGGCUUUCAUCAAUCCAAAUGUGAAUGCAUUGUUGAAUCCAAUACCUAUGGGUGUUUGGAUAACUGAGUCCUUGCACAUCACCGAUGUAAGGAGCAACUUGUUCACACAGAGGGAGGUGAGCAGAUGGAACGAGCUGCCCGAGGAAAUGGUUGAGGCAGGGACAGUAUUAACACUAGAAAGACAUUUGGGCAGGUACAUGGACAGGAAAGAUUUAGAGGGAUCUGGGCCAAAUGCAGCCAAAUAGGACUAGACCAGCCGGGUAUCUUGGUCAGUAUGGAUGAGUUAGGCUGAAUGGCUUGUUUCUGUGCAGCCUGAUUCUAAAUGCUGCCCAAGCCCCUCCCUUCAUGCUUCCUGGAGAUGAGAGCCUGGACCAUGAGGCAAGGGGAUGGAGCUGGAGAUGAGAGCCUGGACCAUGAGGGAUGGAGCUGGAGCUGGAGAUGAGAGUCUG